GCUUUGUGGCCCACGUGUGAUAACGUCUCUAGACUAUGAUUCUGGAGAUCAGGGUUCAAUUCCCUGCUUGAGCA